AAAAGAUGCUGAACUAUUUUUGCGAUGUGUUCCUAAUAUGUAAUAAGAAUGUAUUGGGAACAUUUUGCAUUUGUAGUUUUGUAUCAAUAAU
rnacentral:pre_miRNA from 17 species